UGGAUGGCCUCGGUCGCCAGAUUGAAAAGAAGACUGGCACAGGGCCGAAAGUGAGCAGGA
rnacentral:SRP_RNA from 14 species